CCUACGGGUGACAGCAGUGGGGAAUAUUGCGCAAUUGGCGAAAGCCUGACGCAGCGAAGCCGCGUGAGGGAUGAAGGUCUUCGGAUCGUAAACCUCUGUCAGCAGGGAAGAACGGUCACUGGGCUAAUCAGCAGGUAAUUGACGGUACCUGCAACGGAAGCACCGUCUAACUCCGUGCCAGCAGCCGCGGUCAUACGGAGGGUGCGAGCGUUAAUCGGAAUUACUGGGCGUAAACGCUCGUGUGCUUUAUGUCAAGUCCAGGGUGAAAUCCCCGCGUUCAUCGUGUGAACUGCCUUUUAAAUGGGCUAACGGGAGGGUGUGAGAGGUUAGUGGAAUUUCAGGUGUAGGAGUGAAAUCCGUAGAUAUCUGGAGGAACAUCAGUGGCGAAGGCGACUAUCUGGCACAUAACUGACGCUGAGGAGCGAAAGCGUGGGUAGCAAACAGGAUUAGAUACCCGGGUAGUA
rnacentral:rRNA from 1 species